UGGGGAAUUUUGCACAAUGGGGGGAACCUUGAUGCAGCGACGCCGCGUGAGGGAUGGAGGCCUUCGGGUUGUGAACCUCUUUCGCUCGUGUGCAAGCCGCUAUUUGGGUAGUGGUGAGUGUAGCGGGUAAAGAAGCGCCGGCUAACUACGUGCCAGCAGCCGCGGCAAUACGUAGGGCGCGGGCGUUGUCCGGAUUUAUUGGGCGUAAAGGGCUUGUAGGCGGUUUGUCGGGCCUGUCGUGUAAUCCUCGGGCUUAACUGGGGGUGUGCGGUGGGUACGGGCAAGCUUGAGUGGGGUAGGGGGGAUGGGAAUUCCUGGUGUAGCGGUGGAAUGCGCAGAUAUCAGGAGGAACACCGGUGGCGAAGGCUGGUCUCUGGGCCGUUACUGACGCUGAGGAGCGAAAGCGUGGGGAGCGAACAGG
rnacentral:rRNA from 1 species